rnacentral:rRNA from 1 species
CAGCCGUAAACUAUGCGCGUUAGGUGUAUCGGUGACCACGAGUUACCGAGGUGCCGAAGGGAAACCGUGAAACGUGCCGCCUGGGAAGUACGGUCGCAAGGCUGAAACUUAAAGGAAUUGGCGGGGGAGCACCACAACAGGUGGAGCCUGCGGGUUUAAUUUGGACUCAACGCCGGGAAGCUCACCGGAUAGGACAGCAGAAUGAUUGCCGGGCUGAAGACCCUGCAUGACUAGCUGAGAGGAGGUGCAUGGCGUCAGUGACUGU